UACGAAGGGGGCUAGCGUUGUUCGGAAUGACUGGGCGUAAAGGGUGUGUAGGCGGUUAUACACGUCAGAUGUGAAAGCCCCGGGCUCAACCUGGGAAUGGCAAUGGAUACUGGCAAGCUAGAGUGCGGUAGAGGGUAGUGGAAUUCCCGGUGUAGCGGUGAAAUGCGUAGAGAUCGGGAGGAACACCAGUGGCGAAGGCGGCUACCUGGACCAGCACUGACACUGAGGCACGAAAGCGUGGGGAGCAAACAGG
rnacentral:rRNA from 1 species